GCCCGGUUAGCUCAGCAGGUAGAGCGUUGGACUUUUAAUCUAACGGUCAAGGGUUCAAGUCCCUUAUCGGGCU
rfam:Ciona savignyi cont_31770, whole genome shotgun sequence.